UACGAAGGGGGCUAGCGUUGCUCGGAAUGACUGGGCGUAAAGGGCGCGUAGGCGGUUUGUACAGUCAGAUGUGAAAUUCCUGGGCUCAACCUGGGGGCUGCAUUUGAUACGUGCGGACUUGAGUGAGGAAGAGGGUCGUGGAAUUCCCAGUGUAGAGGUGAAAUUCGUAGAUAUUGGGAAGAACACCGGUGGCGAAGGCGGCGACCUGGUCCGACACUGACGCUGAGGCGCGAAAGCGUGGGGAGCAAACAGG
rnacentral:rRNA from 1 species